CUUCAGUCAGCCAUGGUAGAGAGACAGAAACAUAUUCAGUCAACCAUGGGAGAGAGACAGGAAAUUCUUCAGUCAGCCAUUGGAGAGAGACAGGAAACUCCUAUGUCAGCCAUAGGAGUGAGACAGGAAGCUUCUAGCUCAGCCAUGGGAGUGAGACAGGAAGCUCCUAGGUCAGCCAUGGGAGAGAGACAGGAAGCUCCUAGGUCAGCCAUGGGAGAGAGACAGGAAGCUCCUAGGUCAGCCAUGGGAGUGAGACAGGAAGCUCCUAGGUCAGCCAUGGGAGUGAGACAGGAAGUUACUAGGUCAGCCAUAGGAGUGAGACAGGAAGUUCUUCAGUCAGCCAUGAGAGAGAGACAGGAAAUUCUCCAGUCAGCCAAUGCGAGAGGGACAGAAAAUUCUUCAGUCAGCCAUGGUAGAGAGACAGAAACAUAUUCAGUCAACCAUGGGAGAGAGACAGGAAAUUCUUCAGUCAGCCAUUGGAGAGAGACAGGAAACUCCUAGGUCAGCCAUGGGAGUGAGACA